AUUGAACGCUGGCGGCAGGCCUAACACAUGCAAGUCGAGCGAGCGGCGGACGGGUGAGUAAUGUCUGGGAAACUGCCUGAUGGAGGGGGAUAACUACUGGAAACGGUAGCUAAUACCGCAUACCAUCAGAUGUGCCCAGAUGGGAUUAGCUAGUAGGUGGGGUAAUGGCUCACCUAGGCGACGAUCCCUAGCUGGUCUGAGAGGAUGACCAGCCCCACGUGAACUGAGACACGGUCCAGACUCCUACGGGAGGCAGCAGUGGGAAAUAUUGCACAAUGGGCGCAAUCCUUAUGCAGCCAUGCCGCGUGUAUGAAGAAGGCAUUCGGGUUGUAAAGUACUUUCAGCGGGGAGGCGUUACCCGCAGAAGAAGCACCGGCUAACUCCGUGCCAGCAGCCGCGGUAAUAC
rnacentral:rRNA from 1 species